rnacentral:rRNA from 1 species
GACGAACGCUGGCGGCGUGCUUAACACAUGCAGGUCGAACGAAAAGAGGGAAAGAGCUUGCUCUUUCCGGAAUUGAGUGGCAAACGGGUGAGUAACACGUAAACAACCUGCCUUCAGGAUGGGGACAACAGACGGAAACGACUGCUAAUACCGAAUAAGUUCCAAGGGCCGCAUGGCCCAUGGAAGAAAAGGUGGCCUCUACCUGUAAGCUAUCGCCUGAAGAGGGGUUUGCGUCUGAUUAGCUGGUUGGAGGGGUAACGGCCCACCAAGGCGACGAUCAGUAGCCGGUCUGAGAGGAUGAACGGCCACACUGGAACUGAGACACGGUCCAGACUCCUACGGGAGGCAGCAGUGGGGAAUCUUCCGCAAUAGGCGAAAGCCUGACGGAGCAACGCCGCGUGAGUGAUGACGGCCUUCGGGUUGUAAAACUCUGUGAUCCGGGACGAAAAGGCAGAGUGCGAAGAACAAACUGCAUUGACGGUACCGGAAAAGCAAGCCACGGCUAACUACGUG